rnacentral:snoRNA from 1 species
GAGCGCCUUUGAAGAACACAACGUAUCUCCAACUGCAUGCAAGGGCAAGCUGGAGCGGCGGUGACAGCUCAGGUCAGCAAAGUCUCUGCGCUGCCACUCGCCUUUCCUAGAAAG